CACAGAUGCCUCUUUCCAUUUAUUUUCAUCUUAUUUAAUUCCUUUAAAAAAUAAAAAUUAAUUAACAUGUAAAAUUGUGGGUAUUUGUGGGUUACAUUCUUAUUAUGUUUAGAUACAUGUAUAUAAUGUAUAAUGUUCAGUUAGGACAAACAUCUGUUUUUUGAAAUAUGUAUAAUUUCUUUAUGAUAAAACAUUUAAAAUCAUUUCUUCUAAAUUUAUAAGUAUGCAGUACAUUAUCAUUCUCUAGUCACUUUCCUGUGCAAUAAAAUACCAGAUCUUAUUUCUCCUAAUUAUAAUUUAGUGCCUAUUGAUCAACCUUUCUCCAUGUCUUCCUCCCCCUAAUUUCCCUAGCCUCUGGUAAUCACCAUUCUCUACUCAACUUCUAUAAGAUCAACUUUUUAAGAUUCCAGAUAUGAGUGAGAUUAUGUAGUACUUGUUUUUCUAUGUCUGGCUUAUUUUGCUUAACAUAAUGACCUUCAGUUCCAUGCAUGUUGUCACAAAGGAUAGAAUUUCAUUUUUUUUUAAUGGACGAAUAAUGUUGCAUUCUAUCAAUGUACCACAUUUUCUUUAUGCAUUCAUCAGUUGGUGUAUACUUAGGUUGUUUCGUGUCUUCUCUAUUUCUUUUAGCAAUGUUUUUAGAUUUGAUCAUAAGAAGACUUUCACCUCCUUAGUUGGAUUUGUUCUUAAAUAUUUAAUUCUUCUAUAUACCAUUAAAAUUUUUUCUAUACUAUUAUAAAUGAAAUUUCUUUUUUCAUUUCCUUUUGGAUUGUUUAUUGCUGGUAUAUUGAAAUGUAACUGAUUUUGUGUGUUAAUCUUAAACCCUGCAAGUUUACUGAAUUUGUUUAUUAACUCCAACAUCUUUCUCAUGGAAUUACAUUUUUUUCUGUAUAUAGUUCUGCAACUUUCUAUAUAUCACUUGCAAAUAGUAACAGUCUUACCACUUUCUUACCAAUGUUGAUGCAUUUUAUUUCCUUUCUUGUCUAAGCACUGGAUAGAACUUCCAGCAUAACAUUGAAUAUCAGCAGUGAAAGUGUGCAUUUUCGUCUUGUUCCUGAUCUAAGAGGAAAAGUUUUUAGUCCUCUACCAUUGGGUAUGAUGUUAGUCAUGAGUUUUAACCCUUGAUAAUCCUGAGAAAUUUUCUUUCUAUUCAUAGUUUAUGAGAGUUUUUAUCGUGAAAGAGUAUUGAAGUUUUGUCAAAUGCCUUUUCUGCAUCAGUUGAAAUGAUCAUGUGGUUUUAUUCCCUUUUUUUCUAUUACUGUGAUAUAUUAGAUCAAUUUGCUUAUGUUGAACUAUUCUCUCAAGCCUGGGAUAAAUACUACUUGUUAUGAUGAAUAAUACUUUUAAUAUACCAUUGGAUUUGAUUUGAUUUUGUUGAGGAUUUUACAUUUAUUUCAAAGAGAUGUUGGUCUUUAUUUUUCUUUUUCCAUGAUAUAUUUCCUGCUUGGUAAUUUUGGCCUCAGAGAGCAAAUAAGGAAAUGUUCCCUCCUCUUGUAUUUUUCAUAAGAGUUUGAGAAGAAUCGAUGUUAAUUCUUUAAAAGUUUAGCAGAGUUCAUGGUGAAGCCGUCUAGGUCAGAGCUUUUCUUUGUUGGAGGUUUUGAUUGCUAAUUCAACCUCUUGUUAUAGGUUUUGAAAUUUUCUAUUUCAACUUGAAUCAGUUACUUUGUUUCAAGAAAUUUUUCCAUUUCAUCUAAAUUGUAUAAUUGGUUGGUAUAUAGAUGUUACACUUGUUAUUUAAUGCUUCUUUUAUUAAGCACCUUUUAUUUGUUAAGAUAUCCCCCCGUGUGUGUAUUCCCUUUUAACUCUUAUAACAACUUUAAGAUACAUGUGGUAAUAAGUGGUAUUGUCUCUAUUUCAUUAGGAGAAAAGAAACUAAAAUCCAAAAAUGUUAACUUUUCCAAGGACUUAACAUCUAGGAAAUAGCGGAGACAGAAUUCAGACUAAAGUUCUCCAAUUUGAUAUUUCACACUCUUGGGAACAUGGUUUCAGAAUAUCUGACACUUUUUGCUAUAAAAAUGUGAUUUUUAUCUGUAAGUUUAUCUAAAUGACAUACAGCCAGCCAUUCCUCUCUUCCAGAGUAUUUCAAAGUGGAGGUAUGUAACUACUAUUGGAAUAUUUGAUUAAUUAAAUCUAUCUACUUGCAGUGAAAGUAUUAUUGGAAUUCUUUGAUUAGCACCCUCAGUUUUAAAUGAGUGUUGAGGUCCAGAAAGAAGAGACUUAGUUUUAUGAACAUCAGGCAUUAUUCUGUGUCCUCUUCCUAUAUGGAGGCCAUAUCAUUGAUGAGCUCUCAUUAAGGCAUGUACUUUGAGUUGUUUUUGUUUGUUUGUUUUUUCAGCUGAUAUCUUAUAAUGGGGGUGAAUUUAUAUCAGUUCAUUCAUAUUCACUUAUUUAAUUGCCAUUGUGACAAAUUCCAUAGAUACUCAAAAUUCUGUAUGAAGCUAUGAAAUGAAUGAAGGAAUUAAGAUAGAUCCCUGGUUCUGAGUCUCUUCAAAGGUAUGCAAAACAAUGCUGAUGAACUUAGAAAAAAUCCUGGGAUCAAGAAUCUUUUCAUCAUUGAUUUUCUCCAAUGAAUAGAAAAGUACAAAUUUAGCCACAGAAAUAAGAGCAUGGUGAUCUCAGAAAUAUACAUCCUAAUCCUUUCUAAUUUUUUUAUCCAUUUGUCUUCAGAACAAAUUGAAGGUUCUGUUUUUUGAAGUUUUGCUGCAGUGUUAUGUUGUACAAAGAUAUAUUCAGACUUAUGAUAUUACCUCAGAGUACGAAGGAGUUGUAAUAGUUUGCUAUACUGAAUACAUCCCUCUAGGCAAGACCCAUGCAAAAUGAUAUAUCCAAGUUUGUAUCAGUAGUUGUGAUUCAGGUAUUUUCACAUUGUACCAAGAAUGGCAAUAGCUCUUAAAAGUGGGGUGCUAGGUGGGCAACUUGUCAUCAUCCUAUGAUGCCAUCACAAUAAUUUGUGAGACAGAGAUGGAUAGCACAUUUGGAGGGUGGAAUAUGAGGUAUGAGGCAGGAUUCCCAUUUAAGUGCAGUUACUGAGGAAUUCAUGAGUCCUGUCUCUUUGUUCUGUGCUCUUGUUUUGUUUUAUCUUGUCUUCUUUUGUUUUCUCUUAUACUCCUCACAAUAUCUCUAAAUGACUUCUGCAAUGUAUUACUAUCUGAAAUUAAUAUCUCAAGAUACUACAAGUCUCUGAUCAUUUGUUUUUCUGAAGUAUGAAAGUGAAUGGACAGAAUUUUACCCAUAGGAUUUUUUGCUCUUUAAAAAACAGAAUUUAUAUCUGAAUUACACACAUUAGGAGUUUUCUUCUGGGAGGUACCCUGAGUCUAAUGGGUCCUAGGUUCUUCGUACAAGCUUUCUUUCCUCUGUCAUUAAGUCCUACUAACUUUUGGCUUCAUUUCUGUACUCCAAAAUUUUAAGAAUUUACUUCUUCUCAUUUAGGGACUCUUGCUGUGGAGCUGCUUUGAUUCCAAAAGAAUGUUGCCUAUUCUAACAAGUAAAAUUAAUGUCAAGCAAAUUUUCCAUAGGCCUUUAAUCCUGUUUUUGUAUUUGGUCUGUAACCUUCAGAUAAAAAGUCAACUGGAAUAUCUAAAAGCCUGGAAAGUUGAAUUUACAGAAUGGGUAUUAUUUCUCGUAUUUAUGGUAUUUGGAGGUUGUCUUCUUAUACUAGAGGUAGCAAGGGCCAGAUUACCAUAGCGCCUAAAGUCAACCUGUUCCAACAGGCUUCAUCUUUCUUUGUGCACAUUUUAAAAGAAUAGGUCCUCAUGCAAGCAUUUCAAAUCCAGAGACAAAUUUGAAAAAAAAAAAUUGCUGCAACAUGUUGACUGAUUCUUUGCCAAGUCAACCACUGAGAACUUUUUUCAGUCAACUCUUACACAGAGAAAAUUAGAGGUGGUAGGAGGAAGCGCAUGAAACUUCAUUAUUAAAAACAAAACAAAACAAAUAACAAAAAAAACUAAACUUACAUUACCCUAAGUCACUCCCCCUCUGAGAUUUUUCUCUCCCAUUUUCAACCCUCAUCUCCCUCUCCUGCCUUUUCCUUUUUUCCCUCUCUUCUAAUCAUCUUCUGUGACAUACUCUGCUGCUCUAAUGUGAUCAUUUUUACUUUUAUUAUUGAUACAAUGGUAUGUGCCAGAGGAAUAGCUUUCUAAAGAUCUAUUCAGAUAGGUAGAUUCAAACCCGCAGAAAGGUUAAAAAUGUUUUUAAAAUAUGCUUGUCAACAGUGGGAAGAAAGCUGUUUGUAGCUAGCAGGUGAGCUGGAGAGUACUACAGGGUGUGGUAGAGAUAGUAAUAAAUUAACCGGCAAGCCAAAAACUAUAUUAAAAAAUCAGCUAUUUCAUAGCAUAGAAGCAUGACAGCUAUGAAAAAAGGAGUGCCCCGGGGAAUUCUUUUAGAGUUUGAUUUUUUUAAAUAUGUUUGACAUGAAAAAUGUUUUAGUACAAAUAAAGCAACUGGUAUUAAACUUUACAGGGAGGGGGGUUGUGGUUUAGAGUUAUUAUGAAUAAUGCAUGAUAUUUAAAGAAAGAACAGCUCUAAAAUGUUCUGGAAGGCAGUCCAUGUUGAUGGUUGGAAUGGUGAGUUUUUUCCCCCUAUUUUUGAAACAUCAUUAAUUCAGCAUCGUUUUGUGAUUUUUUUUAACUUGGUAUGAUAUCAACCAAGGAAAUACUAUUUGACUUAGAUUAGGAUUUUUUUUUCUUCAGAUAGUUUAGUUUAAAUAUCAAGAAGAUCAGUAGAAUUAUUUAAGCAUAAAGUGACAGUCAUUUACUAUAAAAAAUAAUUUGGCCUAGUUAUCUUUUUUAAAAAGCUCAUAUAGUACUGCAAACUAAAAUCAACCUCAUGGAAGGGGAAAAACAAGAUCAGAUAUUUUGAACAUUACUCCAUAGGAGAUCAGCACAAUGUAGUGUUAGUGAAUGCAUUGUAGCGGCACUCCAUAUGCAAUCAGAAGCCAAUUGUUACUGGACUGUGUACAGGCACACACUGUGCUCAAUGGUCUGAUGAGGUAUUAUGGAUAUGAUGCAAAGAGACUGUGUAGAUUAGAAGCUAACAAUUUGUUAAAAGUGAAAGCGACUUAACAUUUACAUUGGGCCAGCUGAGUAGCACUUCAUGUGGCAAGGGGAUGAGUUCCAAGAAACCAGGGACACUGGGAAGGCUCCAGGUAUUAGUGUCCAUGUAGAAAAAAAAAAAAAAAAGGUUAUAUUGCUUUCAGUUGACUACCUUUGUUACUGUGAUUCUUUAUAUAAUGUCUCUUCAUUAUUACAUUCAGCUUUCGGUGUAGAAAAGUUCAUGCAAAAUAGCAUAAUUAUAAAUGUCAAAAAUGUGUGGAGGAACAGCCUAUUAAAAUAUAGCCUAGAGAUAGUACAUAACACUGACUUUAAAUAAGUAGUGAAGCCAAAGUGACACUACAUUUAAUCAUUGGAAUUGUGUAAUUUAUCCACAAAUAUUAAUUUUUAGUUCAGUUACCAUUGUCACAGUAUGUUCUUCAUCACUCCUUCUUGGCUUUUGGAUUAUUGGCCACAUCCUCAGUUCUUAGGUCACAAAAAGUACUUAGGUCCUCUAUUUAGAAUGGCUGGAGUUACAAACACAUUGAGAUGUGACAUUGAUCUUAGCUAAAACAUGCUCAAUCUCUACCAGGCUUUUAGUGUAGGUAUCCCAUGUAAAAUGGUGGUUAUUUAAUAAAAUCAUUAUCAAAGAGUGUUUAAUCAGUGCUUUACAUGCAUGAUUUUUGUACUUGUUUCCACUAGUACAGUACUAGAGAUUAAACCAAACACACACACACACACACACACACACACACACACAACAUAUAUAUA